rnacentral:rRNA from 1 species
AUUGAACGCUGGCGGCAGGCUUAACACAUGCAAGUCGAGCGGGGUGAUGGUGCUUGCACUAUCACUUAGCGGCGGACGGGUGAGUAAUGCUUAGGAAUCUGCCUAUUAGUGGGGGACAACAUCUCGAAAGGGAUGCUAAUACCGCAUACGUCCUACGGGAGAAAGCAGGGGAUCUUUAUGACCUUGCGCUAAUAGAUGAGCCUAAGGCGGAUUAGCUAGUUGGUGGGGUAAAGGCCUACCAAGGCGACGAUCUGUAGCGGGUCUGAGAGGAUGAUCCGCCACACUGGGACUGAGACACGGCCCAGACUCCCACGGGAGGCAGCAGUGGGGAAUAUUGGACAAUGGGGUGAACCCUGAUCCAGCCAUGCCGCGUGUGUGAAGAAGGCCUUAUGGUUGUAAAGCACUUUAAGCGAGGAGGAGGCUCUUUUGGUUAAUACCCAGAGUGAGUGGACGUUACUCGCAGAAUAAGCACCGGCUAACCCUGUGCCAGCCGCCGCAGUAA